rnacentral:rRNA from 1 species
AGUCGAGCGGUAGAGAGAAGCUUGCUUCUCUUGAGAGCGGCGGACGGGUGAGUAAUGCCUAGGAAUCUGCCUGGUAGUGGGGGAUAACGCUCGGAAACGGACGCUAAUACCGCAUACGUCCUACGGGAGAAAGCAGGGGACCUUCGGGCCUUGCGCUAUCAGAUGAGCCUAGGUCGGAUUAGCUAGUUGGUGAGGUAAUGGCUCACCAAGGCGACGAUCCGUAACUGGUCUGAGAGGAUGAUCAGUCACACUGGAACUGAGACACGGUCCAGACUCCUACGGGAGGCAGCAGUGGGGAAUAUUGGACAAUGGGCGAAAGCCUGAUCCAGCCAUGCCGCGUGUGUGAAGAAGGUCUUCGGAUUGUAAAGCACUUUAAGUUGGGAGGAAGGGUUGUAACCUAAUACGUUGCAAUCUUGACGUUACCGACAGAAUAAGCACCGGCUAACUCUGUGCCAGCAGCCGCGGUAAUACAGAGGGUGCAAGCGUUAAUCGGAAUUACUGGGCGUAAAGCGCGCGUAGGUGGUUCGUUAAGUUGGAUGUGAAAUCCCCGGGCUCAACCUGGGAACUGCAUUCAAAACUGACGAGCUAGAGUAUGGUAGAGGGUGGUGGAAUUUCCUGUGUAGCGGUGAAAUGC